UAUGAGUGCAGCUAUGGCUUCUCUUUAGGUUUGUAUGGCAAUUCUGAGUAAUGGGGAAUAAAGGGUACAGAGGAUUGCCUCCCCCCUCCCUUUUGCUUUUUAUGAGUGCAGCUAUGGCUUCUCUUUAGACCCUUUGAGGUAAAAAAAAAGGUUUAUUGAAAGAGUAUGGAACUUGUUUGUGAAAAUUCCCAAGUUUUUUUUUUUUUUUUUUCAUUGAAAAAUAAAACUUGAAAUGUCUGUUCCUGGGAUUUACAGGUUAGGUUUUGUGUGAAAUAUUUGUCUGUUUACAAAGUUUGUUUGAGUCCGUGUUACUUACCUGUCUUUGGCUGAAAUUGACACAGGUUUAGUUUCUUUGCUUGAACUGGUGAAGUGUGAAAUGCAAGUGAAACUCCAUAAGCUGAAUUUGGUUUAAGUUACUUGGAGAAGUUAUGUUCUUUUAGGGGGUUUUGGCUUUGGACUUUCUUCAUUUUGAAGUCAUAAUUAUUUAUUCUUAAGUUGGUCUUUGUGAAUAGUUUAAAACUCUCAAGUACUCUCUCCAGCAAGCAAUUUCUGGUCCAAACUUGUCUUCAUCUACCUUUUGAGGAGUUUUAAGAAGAAAGAGAUUCUGGUUUUGCAGGGCACCACCACCAGUUGAGCUGGAUUCUGUUCAAUCUUCUCUCUCAAGAGAGCUUCGUCCAUGUGAGCUUCAGUGAUUGAUAAUUUACAAACUACAACUUAUGCUCAUUUUCUAGUCCUUGAAUGCUCAGUGCUUUUCCUUUA